rnacentral:rRNA from 1 species
UCCAUUGGAGGGCAAGUCUGGUGCCAGCAGCCGCGGUAAUUCCAGCUCCAAUAGCGUAUAUUAAAGUUGCUGCAGUUAAAAAGCUCGUAGUUGGAUCUCAGUUACGGGCAGGUGGUUCACUUUACAGUGCUACUACCUGAACCGAACCUAUUGCUGGAUCUCUUGGGUGCCCUUCACUGGGUGCCCCUUGAGACCAGAGCGUUUACUUUGAGAAAAUUAGAGUGCUCAAAGCAGGCGAAUGCCUGAAUAGUUGUGCAUGGAAUAAUGAAAUAUGGCCUCGGUACUGUUUUGUUGGUUCACGGUGCUCGAGGUAAUGGUUGAAAGGGACUGACGGGGGCAUUCGUAUUGCGACGUUAGAGGUGAAAUUCUUAGAUCGUCGCAAGACGGACUACUGCGAAAGCAUUUGCCAAGAAUGUCUUCAUUAAUCAAGAACGAAAGUCAGAGGUUCGAAGGCGAUCAGAUACCGCCCUAGUUCUGACCUUAAACGAUGCUAACUGGCGAUCCAGUAGGGGUAUUUAAAAUGACCUGCUGGGCAGCUUCUGGGAAACCAAAGUUUUUGGGUUCCGGGGGAAGUAUGGUUGCAAAGCUGGAACUUAAAGGAAUUGACGGAAGGGCACCACCAGGAGUGGAGCCUGUGGCUUAAUUUGACUCAACACGGGAAACCUCACCAGGCCCAGACACUAGAAGGAUUGACAGAUUGAGAGCUCUUUCUUGAUUUGGUGGAUGGUGGUGCAUGGCCGUUCUUAGUUGGUGGAGUGAUUUGUCUGGUUAAUUCCGAUAACGAACGA